rnacentral:rRNA from 1 species
GAUGAACGCUGGCGGCGUGCUUAACACAUGCAAGUCGAACGGGAUCCAAGGGGUGCUUGCACUUUUUGGUGAGAGUGGCGAACGGGUGAGUAACACGUGAGUAACCUGUCUUUUUCUUUGGGAUAAGCAUUCGAAAGGGUGUUUAAUACCUUAUGUUCUGUCUGCCUCGCAUGGGGUGGGUGGGAAAGGCUUUGGCCGGAUUUGGGUGGGCUCGCGGUCUAUCAGCUUGUUGGUGGGGUGAUGGCUUACCAAGGCUUUGACGGGUAGCCGGCCUGAGAGGGUGGUCGGUCACAUUGGGACUGAGAUACGGCCCAGACUCCUGCGGGAGGCAGCAGUGGGGGAUAUUGCACAAUGGGCGAAAGCCUGAUGCAGCGACGCCGCGUGGGGGAUGAAGGCCUUCGGGUUGUAAACUUCUUUUGCUCUGAACAAGGCAUGCCAGUGGGUGUGUUGAGUGUAGGGGUUGAUUAGCGCCGGCUAACUACGUG